rnacentral:ncRNA from 1 species
CAAGAAUGAAACUCAAAGGAAUUGACGGGGGCCCGCACAAGCGGUGGAGCAUGUGGUUCAAUUCGAUGCAAAGAGAAGAACCUUACCAGGGCUUGACAUGCCGUGAAUCCUCCCGAAAGAGAGGAGUGCCUUCAGGAAUGCGGACACGGGUGGUGCAUGGUUGUCGUCAGCUCAUGCCGUAAGGUGUUGGGUUAAGUCCCACAACGAGCGCAACCCUCAUGUUUAGUUUCCAUCAUUGAGUUUGGAACCCUGAACAGACUACUAGUGAUAAGCCAGAGGAAGGUGAGGAUGGCGUCAAGUCAUCAUGCCCCUUAUGCCCUGGGCGACACACAUGCUACAAUGACCGGGACAAAGGGUCACGACCCUGUGAGGGAAAUCUAACCUCAAAAACCCGACCUCAGUUCGGAUUGCAGGCUGCAACUCGCCUGCAUGAAGCCGGAAUUUCUAGUAAUCGUUGGUUAGCCAUACGGCGGUGAAUCUGUUCCUGGGCCUUGUACACACCGCCCGUCACACUAUGGGAUUUGGCCAUUCCCCAAGUCGUUACCUUAACCGCAAGGAGGGGGAUGCUGAAGGCUGGGCUAGUGACUGGAGUGAAGUCGUAACAAGGUAGCCGUACUAGAAGGUGCGGCUGGAUCACCUCCUUU